rnacentral:rRNA from 1 species
GGUGAAAUUCUUGGACCGUCGCAAGACGGACAGAAGCGAAAGCAUUUGCCAAAAACGUUUUCAUUGAUCAAGAACGAAAGUUAGAGGUUCGAAGGCGAUCAGAUACCGCCCUAGUUCUAACCAUAAACGAUGCCAGCUAGCGAUCCGCCGACGUUCCUCCGAUGACUCGGCGGGCAGCUUCCGGGAAACCAAAGCUUUUGGGUUCCGGGGGAAGUAUGGUUGCAAAGCUGAAACUUAAAGGAAUUGACGGAAGGGCACCACCAGGAGUGGAGCCUGCGGCUUAAUUUGACUCAACACGGGAAACCUCACCAGGCCCGGACACCGGAAGGAUUGACAGAUUGAGAGCUCUUUCUUGAUUCGGUUGGUGGUGGUGCAUGGCCGUUCUUGGUUGGU